GACGAACGCUGGCGGCGUGCCUAACACAUGCAAGUCGAGCGGAGCAGUAGCAAUACUGCUUAGCGGCGGACGGGUGAGUAACGCGUGGGCAACCUGCCUUUCACAGGGGGAUAACACAGGGAAACUUGUGCUAAUACCGCAUAAAAUCCUGAUAGGACAUCCUGUUGGGAUCAAAGGAGUAAUCCGGUGAAAGAUGGGCCCGCGUCCGAUUAGCUAGUUGGUGGUGUAACGGACCACCAAGGCGACGAUCGGUAGCCGAACUGAGAGGUUGAUCGGCCACAUUGGGACUGAGACACGGCCCAGACUCCUACGGGAGGCAGCAGUGGGGAAUAUUGCACAAUGGGGGAAACCCUGAUGCAGCAACGCCGCGUGAAGGAUGAAGGUUUUCGGAUUGUAAACUUCUUUAGUCGGGGACGAAGAAAUGACGGUACCCGAAGAAUAAGCCACGGCUAACUACGUGCCAGCAGCCGCCGUAAUAC
rnacentral:rRNA from 1 species